rnacentral:rRNA from 1 species
UCCUACGGGAGGCAGCAGUGGGGGAUAUUGCACAAUGGGGGGAACCCUGAUGCAGCGACGCCGCGUGAGCGAAGAAGUACCUCGGUAUGUGAAGCUCUAUCAGCAGGGAAGAAAAUGACGGUACCUGACUAAGAAGCCCCGGCUAAAUACGUGCCAGCAGCCGCGGUAAUACGUAGGGGGCAAGCGUUAUCCGGAUUUACUGGGUGUAAAGGGGGCGCAGACGGCAAUGCAAGCCAGGAGUGAAAGCCCGGGGCCCAACCCCGGGACUGCUCUUGGAACUGC